GCUGGGUGUGGUGGCACACACCUGUAAUCCCAGUGGCUCAGGAGGCUGAGGCAGGAGGACAGAGAGUUCAAAGCCAGUCUCACCAACUUAGCAAGGCUCUAAGCAAUUCAGUGAGACCUGUCUCUA
rnacentral:sRNA from 1 species